GUGGAUUAGAUACCCUGGUAGUCCAUGCCGUAAACGUUGGGCACUAGGUGUGGGGCUCAUUCCACGAGUUCCGUGCCGCAGCAAACGCAUUAAGUGCCCCGCCUGGGGAGUACGGCCGCAAGGCUAAAACUCAAAGAAAUUGACGGGGGCCCGCACAAGCGGCGGAGCAUGCGGAUUAAUUCGAUGCAACGCGAAGAACCUUACCAAGGCUUGACAUACACCGGAAAAGUGCGGAGAUGUGCUCCCCGCAAGGUCGGUGUACAGGUGGUGCACGGCCGUCGACAACU
rnacentral:rRNA from 1 species